GACGCUGCACCCCACGGUUUAGGUUCUAGGGGGCGCCAAAGAUAACCCUAAAAUCCACAUAUUUAAAAGUCUUAUAACUUUUUAUUUUUGUCCCCACUGGCCUCCAAGUUUUCUAGGAUGAUGCAAUGUCCAGCCAUCAACACAUUUGUGAAGGAAUUUUUACUCGCCAAAAGAGCGCCCCCCCAUGGCAGGAGAAUAAAGUCAAGUUUUUCCUGUUCAUCAUUCAAUGGCUCAAACGCACUGCUCUCUCGGCAAAAGCGAAAAGAGGAGCAACUUGCCAUUUGGAUAUAUCUUAGCUGUGUUUGUGCCUUCACUCAUGGUCCAGACUUUUUUCAAAUAGGACAUGGAGUUUUUCUGCAGCGAGCGUUUUGGUAGAAACUGCGCCUCCCGUUCAUUAUAAUGGUAAAUGACCACAAACAAGUGCGCACACCAUCUUUGGACCUUGAGUGUGACGCGAUCGGGUGGGGGAGGCGGUCCCGCUGGGGGCGGCGUGACACGGCUCGGGCCCGCCAGUGCCCCAACGGGGCCCUAGUUUGUUAUUAUUAUUAUUUUUCCUCCCCUUUAAACUGGAAAAUGGCCCACUUCCCACUGGCGAAAACUCAUGAAAUUUGGCAGGACGACCGGGCCUGGUGAAAAAUUUGAUAUUCUGAAGUCGCCCAAACAAUAAAAUGCAAAAUGGCUCCAUAGCGCCCCCUAAGGUGGAAAUUCACACUAUUGACUGUCACGCCUGUACGCUUUGUCAAAAUGACACAAAAAUUGACACACACAUGUAUCUCAAUAAGAUCUACAAAAAAGUCAGUGCGGGCGUAUCUGUCAAAUGUACGGUUAAAGGGUUAUUGCGCAUUUUUUGCCGAUCCGCACACAUUGGAAUUUCGCUAACUCCUCCGAAGGCUUUCGUUCCACCGGCACCACAUUUGCUCAGGCCAAUCUACACCCCAUGGCCAUUAAAAGUUAUUCAAAUCAUGACGCUGCACCCCACGGUUUAGGUUCUAGGGGGCGCCAAAGAUAACCCUAAAAUCCACAUAUUUAAAAGUCUUAUAACUUUUUAUUUUUGUCCUCUCUGGCCUCCAAGUUUUCUAGGAUGAUGCAAUGUCCAGCCAUCAACACAUUUGUGAAGGAAUUUUGACUCCCCAAAAGAGCGCCCCCCCAUGGCAGGAGAAAAAAGUCCAUUUUUUCUUGUCCCCUAAGGUGAAAAUACACAUUGUUGAGUGUCACGCCUCUACACUUUGUCAAAAUGACACAACAUUUGACACACAGGUCUAUCUCAAUAAGAUCUACGAAAAAGUCAAUGCGGGCGUAUCUGUCAAAUGUACGGUUAAAGGGCUAUUUCGCAUUUUUUGGCGAUCCGUACAGAUUGGAAUUUCGCUAACUCCUCCAAAGGCUUUUGUUCCACCGGCACCACAUUUGCUCAGGCCAAUCUACACCCCAUGGCCAUCAAAAGUUAUUCAAAUCAUGACGCUGCACCCCACGGUUUAGGUUCUAGGGGGCGCUGAGGAUAACCCAAAAAUCCACAUUUUUAAAAGUCUUAUAACUUUUCAUUUUUGUCCUCACUGGCCUCCAAGUUUUCUAGGAUGAUGCAAUGUCCAGCCAUCAACACAUUUGUGAAGGAAUUUUUACUCCCCAAAAGAGCGCCCCCCCAUGGCAGGAGAAAAAAGUCAAUUUUUUCUUGUCCCCUAAGGUGAAAAUUCACAUUGUUGAGUGUGACACCUGUACGCUUUGUCAUAUUGACACAAAAAUUGACAUACACAUGUAUCUCAAUAAGAUCUACGAAAAAGUCAAUGCGCGCGUAUCUGUAAAAUGUACGGUUAAAGGGCUAUAUUGCAUUUUUUGCCGAUUCGCACACAUUGGAAUGUGGCUAACUCCUCCUAAGGCUUUCGUCUCACUGACACCAAAUUUGCUGAGGCCAAUCUACACCCCAUGGCCAUUCAAAGUUGUAAAAAUCAUGAUGCUGCACCCCACGGUUUACGUUCUAGGGGGCGCCAAAGAUGACCCAAAAAUCCACAUUCUUAAAAGAAUCCACAUCCCCCCCCCCCCAUGGCAGGAGAAAAAGUCAAGUUUUUCCUGCCCAUCGCUCAAUGGCUCAAUCGCAUCGCUCUCCAGGCAACACCGUAAGGAGGAGCAACCUGCCAUUUGGAUAUAUCCUAGCUGUGUUUGUGCCCUCACUCAUGGUCCAGCCUUUUUUCAUAUAGGACAUGAAGUUUGUCUGCAGCGAGUGUUUUGGUAGAAACUGCGCCUCCCAUUCAUUAUAAUGGGAAAUGACCACAGACAAGUGCGCACACCAUCUUUGGACCUUGAGUGUGAUGCGAUCGGGAGGGGAGGCGGUCGCACUGGGGGCGGCGCGACACGGCUCGGGCCCGACAGUGCCCCACCGGGGCCCUAGUUAUUAUUUUUCCUCCCCUUUGAACUGGAAAAUGGCCCACUUCCCACCCGCGAAAACUCAUGAAAUUUGGCAGGACGACCGGGCCUGGUGAAAAAUUUGAUAUUCCGAAGUCGCCCAAACAAGAAAAUGCAAAAUGGCUCCAUAGCGCCCCCUAAGGUGAAAAUUCACACUAUUGACUGUCACGCCUGUACGCUUUGUCAAAAUGACACAAAAAUUGACACACACAUGUAUCUCAAUAAGAUCUACAAAAAAGUCAGUGCGGGCGUAUCUGUCAAAUGUACGGUUAAAGGGUUAUUUCGCAUUUUUUGCCGAUCCGCACACAUUGGAAUUUCGCUAACUCCUCCGAAGGCUUUCGUUCCACCGGCACCACAUUUGCUCAGGCCAAUCUACACCCCAUGGCCAUUAAAAGUUAUUCAAAUCAUGACGCUGCACCCCACGGUUUAGGUUCUAGGGGGCGCCAAAGAUAACCCUAAGAUCCACAUAUUUAAAAGUCUUAUAACUUUUUAUUUUUGCCCUCACUGGCCUCCAAGUUUUCUAGGAUGAUGCAAUGUCCAGCCAUCAACACAUUUGUGAAGGAAUUUUUACUCCCCAAAAGAGCGCCCCCCAUGGCAGGAGAAAAAAGUCCAUUUUUUCUUGUCCCCUAAGGUGAAAAUACACAUUGUUGAGUGUAACACCUGUACGCUUUGGCAAAAUGACACCAAAAUUGAGACACACAUGUAUCUCAAUAAGAUCUACAAAAAAGUCAAUGCGCACGUAUCUGUCAAAUGUACGGUUAAAGGGUUAUUCCGCAUUUUUUGCCGAUCCGCACACAUUGGAAUUUCGCUAACUCCUCCGAAGGCUUUCGUUCCACCGGCACCACAUUUUCUCAGGCCAAUCUACACCCCAUGGCCAUUAAAAGUUAUUCAAAUCAUGACGCUGCACCCCACGGUUUAGGUUCUAGGGGGCGCCAAAGAUAACCGUAAAAUCCACAUAUUUAAAAGUCUUAUAACUUUUUAUUUUUGUCCCCACUGGCCUCCAAGUUUUCUAGGAUGAUGCAAUGUCCAGCCAUCAACACAUUUGUGAAGGAAUUUUUACUCGCCAAAAGAGCGCCCCCCCAUGGCAGGAGAAAAAAGUCCAUUUUUUCUUGUCCACUAAGGUGAAAAUACACAUUGUUGAGUGCUACGCCUGUAUGUUUUGUCGUAUUGACACAAAAUUUUACAUACACGUGUCUUUCAAUAAGAUCUUCGAAAAAGUCAAUGGCCACGUAUCUGUAAAAUGUACGGUUAAAGGGUUAUUUCGCAUUUUUUGCAGAUUCGCACACAUUGGAAUUUCGCUAACUCCUCCGAAGGCUUUCGUUCCACCGGCACCACAUUUGCUCAGGCCAAUCUACACCCCAUGGCCAUUAAAAGUUAUUCAAAUCAUGACGCUGCACCCCACGGUUUAGGUUCUAGGGGGCGCCAAAGAUAACCCUAAAAUCCACAUAUUUAAAAGUCUUAUAACUUUUUAUUUUUGUCCUCACUGGCCUCCAUGUUUUCUAGGAUGAUGCAAUGUCCAGCCAUCAACACAUUUGUGAAGGAGUUUUUUCUCGUUAAAAGAGCGCCCCCCCAUGGCAGGAGAAUAAAGUCAAGUUUUUCCUGUUUAUCAUUCAAUGGCUCAAACGCACUGCUCUCUCGGCAAAAGCGAAAGGAGGAGCAACUUGCCAUUUGGAUAUAUCUUAGCUGUGUUUGUGCCCUCACUCAUGGUCCAGACUUUUUUCAAAUAGGACAUGGAGUUUUUCUGCAGCGAGCGUUUUGGUAGAAACUGCGCCUCCCGUUCAUUAUAAUGGUAAAUGACCACAAACAAGUGCGCACACCAUCUUUGGACCUUGAGUGUGACGCGAUCGGGUGGGGGAGGCGGUCGUGCUGGGGGCGGCGUGACACGGCUCGGGCCCGCCAGUGCCCCAACGGGGCCCUAGUUGUUUCUUUCUUAGGGCCCGAGCGUAGCUGCUAAGCAGCUGCGAGAGCCCUCUUGUUCCUGUAGUUUCCUUCUUUUGUUAGGGCCCGAGCCAGCUGCAGAGCAGCCGGGCGUAGAGCCCUAUUAUUCCUGUAUAGGUUUUUCUUUCUUCUUUCUUUCUUUCUUUAGGGCCCGAGCGUAGCUGCUAAGCAGCUGCGAGAGCCCUAUUAUUCCCCAAGUGGUUUUUCUUUGUUUCUUUCUUUCUUUCUUUCUUCUUUUUCCUCCCCUUUGAACUGGAAAAUGGCCCACUUCCCACUGGCGAAAACUCAUGAAAUUUGGCAGGACGACCGGGCCUGGUGAAAAAUUCGAUAUUCUGAAGUCGCCCAAACAAUAAAAUGCAAAAUGGCUCCAUAGCGCCCCCUAAGGUGGAAAUUCACACUAUUGACUGUCACGCCUGUACGCUUUGUCAUAUUGACACAAAAAUUGACACACAUAUGUAUCUCAAUAAGAUCUACAAAAAAGUCAGUGCGGCCGUAUCUGUCAAAAUUACGGUUAAAGGGUUAUUUCGCAUUUUUUGCCGAUCCGCACACAUUGGAAUUUCGCUAACUCCUCCGAAGGCUUUCGUUCCACCGGCACCACAUUUGCUCAGGCCAAUCUACACCCCGUGGCCAUUAAAAGUUAUCAAAAUCAUGACGCUGCACCCCAAGGUUUAGGUUCUAGGGGGCGCCAAAGAUAACACUAAAAUCCACAUAUUUAAAAGUCUUAUAACUUUUUAUUUUUGUCCUCACUGGCCUCCAAGUUUUCUAGGAUGAUGCAAUGUCCAGCCAUCAACACAUUUGUGAAGGAAUUUUUACUCCCCAAAAGAGCGCCCCCCCAUGGCAGGAGAAAAAAGUCCAUUUUUUCUUGUCCCCUAAGGUGAAAAUACACAUUGUUGAGUGUCACGCCUAUACGCUUUGUCAAAAUGACACAAAAAUUGACACACACAUGUAACUCAAUAAGAUCUACGAAAAAGUCAAUGCGCGCGUAUCUGUCAAAUGUACGGUUAAAGGGUUAUUUUGCAUUUUUUGCCGAUGCGCACACAUUGGAAUUUCGCUAACUCCUCCGAAGGCUUUCGUUCCACCGGCACCACAUUUGCUCAGGCCAAUCUACACCCCAUGGCCAUUAAAAGUUAUUCAAAUCAUGAUGCUGCACCCCACGGUUUAGGUUCUAGGGGGCGCCAAAUAUAACCCUAAAAUCCACAUAUUUAAAAGUCUUAUAACUUUUUAUUUUUGUCCUCACUGGCCUCCAAGUUCUCUAGGAUGAUGCAAUGUCCAGCCAUCAACACAUUUGUGAAGGAAUUUUUACUCCCCAAAAGAGCGUCCCCCCAUGGCAGGAGAAAAAAGUCCAUUUUUUCUUGUCCCCUAAGGUGAAAAUACAUAUUGUUGAGUGCCACGCCUGUACGCUUUGUCAUAUUGACACAAAAUUUGACAAUCACGUGUGUCUCAAUAACAUCUACGAAAAAGUCAAUGCAUGCGUAUCUGUAAAAUGUACGGUUAAAGGGCUAUUUUGCAUUUUUUGCCGAUUCGCACACAUUGGAAUGUGGCUAACUCCUCCUAAGGCUUUCGUCCCACUGACACCAAAUUUGCUCAGGCCAAUCUACACCCCAUGGCCAUUCAAAGUUGUAAAAAUCAUGACGCUGCACCCCACGGUUUAGGUUCUAGGGGGCGCCAAAGAUGACCCAAAUAUCCACAUUCUUAAAAGAAUCCACACCCCCCCCAUCCC